UGAAAUGUGAUGCUACUUUUGAAAGCAUAA
rnacentral:piRNA from 1 species